rnacentral:rRNA from 1 species
CCCUAGUAACUGCGAGUGAAGCGGGAAAAGCUCAAAUUUAAAAGCUGAUGGUCUUAGGCCGUCCGCAUUGUAAUCUAGAGAAGUGUUAUCCGCGCUGGACCGUGUACAAGUCUCCUGGAAUGGAGCGUCAUAGAGGGUGAGAAUCCCGUCUUUGACACGGACUGCCAGGGCUUUGUGAUGCGCUCUCAAAGAGUCGAGUUGUUUGGGAAUGCAGCUCAAAAUGGGUGGUAAAUUCCAUCUAAAGCUAAAUAUUGGCGAGAGACCGAUAGCGAACAAGUACCGUGAGGGAAAGAUGAAAAGAACUUUGGAAAGAGAGUUAAACAGUACGUGAAAUUGCUGAAAGGGAAACGCUUGAAGUCAGUCGCGUUGUCCGGGGAUCAACCUUGCUUUUGCGGGGCGUACUCCCUGGUUGACGGGCCAGCAUCAAUUUUGGCCACUGGAAAAAGGUCAAGGGAAUGUGGCAUCUUCGGAUGUGUUAUAGCCCUUGGUUGCAUACAGUGGCUGGGAUUGAGGAACUCAGCACGCCGCAAGGCCGGGUUUUUAACCACGUUCGUGCUUAGGAUGCUGGCAUAAUGGCUUUAAUCGACCCGUCUUGAAACACGGACCAAGGAGUCUAACAUGCCUGCGAGUGUUUGGGUGGAAAACCCGAGCGCGCAAUGAAAGUGAAAGUUGAGAUCCCUGUCGUGGGGAGCAUCGACGCCCGGACCAGACCUUUUGUGACGGAUCUGCGGUAGAGCAUGUAUGUUGGGACCC